rnacentral:rRNA from 1 species
AUUGAACGCUUGCGGCAGGCCUAACACAUGCAAGUCGAACGAGUGGCGGACGGGUGUGUAAUGUCUGGGAAACUGCCUGACGGUGGGGGAUAACUACUGGAAACGGUAGCUAAUACUGCAUACCAUCAGAUGUGCCCAGAUGGGUUUACCUAGUUGGUGGGGUAAAGGCUAACCCAGGCGACGAUCCCUAGCUGGUCUGAGAAGAUGACCAGCCACACUGGAAGUGAGACACGGUCCAGACUCCUACGGGAGGCAGCAGUGGGGAAUAUUGCACAAGGGGCGCAAGCCUGAUGCAGCCAUGCCGCGUGUAUGAAGAAGGCCUUCGGGUUGUAAAGUACUUUCAGCAGGGAGGCGUUACCCGCAGAAGAAGCACCGGCUAACUCCGUGCCAGCAGCCGCGGUAAUUC